rnacentral:rRNA from 1 species
AUUGAACGCUGGCGGCAUGCCUUACACAUGCAAGUCGAACGGCAGCACGGGAGCAAUCCUGGUGGCGAGUGGCGAACGGGUGAGUAAUGUAUCGGAACGUGCCCAGUCGUGGGGGAUAACGUAGCGAAAGCUACGCUAAUACCGCAUACGAUCUAUGGAUGAAAGCGGGGGAUCGCAAGACCUCGCGCGAUUGGAGCGGCCGAUAUCAGAUUAGGUAGUUGGUGGGGUAAAGGCCCACCAAGCCUGCGAUCUGUAGCUGGUCUGAGAGGACGACCAGCCACACUGGAACUGAGACACGGUCCAGACUCCUACGGGAGUCAGCAGUGGGGAAUUUUGGACAAUGGGCGCAAGCCUGAUCCAGCAAUGCCGCGUGCAGGAUGAAGGCCUUCGGGUUGUAAACUGCUUUUGUACGGAACGAAACGGCUUUUUCUAAUACAGAGAGCUAAUGACGGUACCUGGAGAAAAAGCCCCGGCUAACUUCGUGCCAGCCGCCGCCGUAA